rnacentral:misc_RNA from 1 species
UCACGUCUUACGACGGCAGUUUCACUAGAGUUCCCAGCGUUACCUGAUGGCAACUAGUGAUAGGGGUUGCGCUCGUUGCGGGACUUAACCCAACACCUCACGGCACGAGCUGACGACGGCCAUGCACCACCUGCGCAGAAGUCCCUUGCGGGAGGUUCUCACUUUCGUGAGAAUUUCCUCUGCAUGUCAAACCCAGGUAAGGUGGGGAUGACGUCGUAUCUCACUG